AGAGCGUUUGACUGCAGAUCAAAUGGUCGAGAGUUCAAA
rnacentral:tRNA from 1 species